AUGAACGCUGGCGGCGUGCCUAAUACAUGCAUGUCGAGCGAACAGAUGAGGAGCUUGCUCCUCUGACGUUAGCGGCGGACGGGUGAGUAACACGUGGAUAACCUACCUAUAAGACUGGGAUAACUUCGGGAAACCGGAGCUAAUACCGGAUAAUAUAUUGAACCGCAUGGUUCAAUAGUGAAAGACGGUUUUGCUGUCACUUAUAGAUGGAUCCGCGCCGCAUUAGCUAGUUGGUAAGGUAACGGCUUACCAAGGCAACGAUGCGUAGCCGACCUGAGAGGGUGAUCGGCCACACUGGAACUGAGACACGGUCCAGACUCCUACGGGAGGCAGCAGUAGGGAAUCUUCCGCAAUGGGCGAAAGCCUGACGGAGCAACGCCGCGUGAGUGAUGAAGGUCUUCGGAUCGUAAAACUCUGUUAUUAGGGAAGAACAAAUGUGUAAGUAACUAUGCACGUCUUGACGGUACCUAAUCAGAAAGCCACGGCUAACUACGUG
rnacentral:rRNA from 1 species